UACGGGGGGGGCUAGCGUUGUUCGGAAUUACUGGGCGUAAAGCGCACGUAGGCGGCUUUGUAAGUCAGAGGUGAAAGCCUGGAGCUCAACUCCAGAACUGCCUUUGAGACUGCAUCGCUUGAAUCCAGGAGAGGUGAGUGGAAUUCCGAGUGUAGAGGUGAAAUUCGUAGAUAUUCGGAAGAACACCAGUGGCGAAGGCGGCUCACUGGACUGGUAUUGACGCUGAGGUGCGAAAGCGUGGGGAGCAAACAGG
rnacentral:rRNA from 1 species